GACGAACGCUGGCGGCGUGCUUAACACAUGCAAGUCGAACGGAAAGGCCCUUCGUGGUACUCGUGUUGCGAACGCGAGCGUGACACUUGGGCGUUCUUCCCCUCACCUUGGGAUUAGCCUGGGUUACUGGGACUAAUACUGAUUCCGACUACGCGCUCCAUGUGCAUUGUUGGAAAGCUUCGGCGGUGGGGGAUGGGCCCGCGGCUUAUCAGCUUGUUGGUGGGGUAGUGGCCUACCAAGGCCAUGACGGGUAGCCGGCCUGAGAGGGUGACCGGCCACACUGGGACUGAGAUACGGCCCAGACUCCUACGGGAGGCAGCAGUGGGGAAUAUUGCACAAUGGGCGCAAGCCUGAUGCAGCAACGCCGCGUGCGGGAUGACGGCCUUCGGGUUGUAAACCGCUUUCGAUAGGGACGAAGCGUGAGUGACGGUAACGAGAAAAGAAGCACCGGCUAACUACGUG
rnacentral:rRNA from 1 species